CGAAAGCUUCGGCGGCGACUGCGGGGCGCCACUUUUCUUGGCCUCCAGGGGGCGGACGCGGAGGCGUCAGCGCGGUCUCAGUCUGCGGGAAGGGGCUGCACCUAGGGGGUCGGGGGGCGCGGCCUCCACCCGGAAUCCUAGCCCAGUUCUAGGCCUGCAGUCGUUCUACCACCGCCACCCGCACCCCUCCCCGCACUGCCGCACGUUCAUGCCCCGCAGGGGCGCUUCAGCCUCUCAAGUUCACAGCCCGCCUAAUCGCACGAGGAGACUCCUCCAGGCCAGGCCCUCCGGCUCGGGGCUGGGCACCCCUGUUAAUGUUACUUGGUGAUUAGAAGUGGAAUGCCAAGAAGACCUCCACCAACUCCAAGGCCGGUAAACAGACAUGCCAGCAUGGCCACAGAGUCAGCUGGGCACCUACUGCUUUCUGGCUGACCCUGGAGUUUGAGCCCUAGGUGUGACCUGACACUGUGUUAUGAUAUGACCUCUGUAAGGUGGCCGCAGAAUCUGGAGGUUUUUCACUUGCGUCAAGUCCAGACCCCUUCUUGCCCUGCCAUAAUCUGCCCCAGUGGGAAGACCUCCUUGUUCUCAUAAUCCUUUGGUCUCUAGUCUGGCCUCAGAAUCUGCUUUUCAUCAUUCUGGUCUGCUGCUUCUCACAAAUGAGCAAACAUGGCCCCGGCCAUCAUUAGAACACCGCAGCUGCUAAUACAAAGUGCUUCUUCUGUACUUGAGUCCUCUUUAAGAUAUAACAUGUAGGGGCACCUGGGUGGCUCAGUGGGUUAAGCUUCUGCCUUCAGCUCAGGUCAUGGUCUCGGGGUCUUGGGAUCAAGCCCCGCAUCGGGCUCUCUGCUCAGCAGGGAGCCUGCUUCCCCCCCCCACCCCCACCUCUCUGACUACUUGUG